rnacentral:lncRNA from 1 species
UUUUUUUGGUUGUAACUAGCUAAAAUUAAUCGAUUCUGCAGUUCCCAGUGAUCAACCAUGAGGACCUCUGGCCCUUCCCCUAUUGCUUUCCAAACGUCCCCCGUAAUACUUAACUCCUCCAAUUUGGAGGAGUUGAAUUUUUUGCACGGCCUUCCUCAAAUUCAUAAGUUCUCAAAAGCUCAAAGCACAAAUAGUGAUUUCAAACAGAAGCCUAAACUAGAUUAGCACAUAAUUAAAUCUAAAACAAGCUAAUACAAGGUAAAACUACUACUCCUCGGAGGGAAGAUCAACGAUCGA